UAACUCCACACGUGAGAUAGGCAACGUUGGAGAAGAAGAAGCCGCAGGGGGAGCUCCUUGCCAUCGCGUCGGUCAUGGUGAAGAUUGUUACUGAAGGCGGCGCUUUUAGGAUAGGGUGGAGGCUGUGAUAAAAACAGGAAAGAAAAAGUAUUUGUGAAAGAUAUGGCUCCUCCGAAGGUUUACUUGUUUGAUGAGAUUGCCAAGCACAAGAAAACCGAGGAUUGCUGGCCGAAUAUCUCUGGAAAGGAAACUUGCUCUCCAUCCAGUCAAUGCGCAGGCAAGGGAAAACAAAAACAACUGGCAGAGGAUUGACAGAAUUUAUACAAGCUGAAAUUGCUCCUUCAACUCUGAUCGAAGAAGAAAACAGGGGUUGUAGUUAGCUCGGGGAGGCAUCGGUGAUCUACUAGGUUAACCCGGGACUUGCAUGACUCGUUGCAACCUAAUAGAAACCUGAUUUUAUUUUUAAAUAAAAAAAAAUUUAAAUACCUAUUGUCAAGAGUCAAGAGGUGGGAUAAAAAAUUUUGGGUGUUUCCCGAAACAAAUGAAAUAAUUUGCAA